UACGGAGGAUGCGAGCGUUAUCCGGAUUUAUUGGGUUUAAAGGGUGCGUAGGCGGGAUGCCAAGUCAGCGGUAAAAAUGCGGUGCUCAACGCCGUCGAGCCGUUGAAACUGGCGUUCUUGAGUGGGCGAGAAGUAUGCGGAAUGCGUGGUGUAGCGGUGAAAUGCAUAGAUAUCACGCAGAACUCCGAUUGCGAAGGCAGCAUACUGGCGCCCUACUGACGCUGAGGCACGAAAGCGUGGGUAUCGAACAGG
rnacentral:rRNA from 1 species